CACCUCUGUUCUAUUCUCAUUUUUAUUAGGCUGCAGAGAUGAAUUCAUUGAUAAUAUGAGCUUCAUCUUCGAUUUUCGAUAUCAAUUUUGGAUUCUAAAGUUAACUCCUUUGGUAUCAAUAAUGGUGAUAAUUCAUGUGUACAUGCCCCUUGUCGACAAAUUCUUAUGCAUAUCCAGAGAUUCACGUAUUACUUGAUACAUAUAGCACACCAUUAUACAGCUUAAUUAGCAACAAGUAAGGUGUGGUAGCCCCAUCACCGAGGGGUGUGGUGAGAUGGUUGAGAUCUCGGUUGCGAGCCCUUGGAAUGGAGAACUUUUCCCGCAAUGUGUCCAUCCAACGCAUAUCGAAAUUAGUCGAACCAGUUUUUUUGGAUACUGAAUGUUAAACCAGAAAUAUAAAAAAUGUGGGGCAGUCACCACAUGUUGGUGGUCAUGUAACAGAUUCAAUUCUUGGCUGAGAAAUAUGUUCUUUUAAAGGGUAUGAAUGAUAUAGCUUGACAUGGCUAAGAGAUUGAUUUUUUGGAAUAGUUGCAACUGGUUUUUACCCGUGGACUGUUUGUCUAAAGUUUUACAAGCUUGUGAUUGUACAAAUCAUGAAAUUUAGAAGCUGAAGGGCGCAACUGCUGAAAUAUUUGAUGCUGCGGAAGUUUUACAAGUUUCAAUAUUCAUAGCACUUGUAAUUCUUGAAAUAGGGACGGAAGUCUCGUGUAUGAUUGUGGUCUCUAAAUUAGUAGCUUAUUCAUUAACUUUGUAAAUAUUGGAGGUUAGGCCUGGAGUCCCCCUCCUCUUGUAUUCAUCAAUCAUUUUUCAGAAAUAUAACAGAUUCUUCAA